rnacentral:tRNA from 1 species
UCCCUGGUGGCUUAGAUGGUAAAGCAUCUGCCUACAAUGCAGGAAACCCGGGUUCAGUCAUGGGUUGGGAA